UCUUCUGCCAGCCCUCUCUGUUUGUUCUCCUUGCCCUGGCUUUGCUUUUCUGCUAGCAAGCUGAGUCUAAAAAGUACAGAGCUAGCGAAUUUAUAAAACCAACAAAUUUUUUUUAAAAAAAUCAGCAACAACAACAACCAGAGCCCCGCGGUAGGUAGAGGUGGUGGGGACAAGCAGAUGGUGCAACAAGAUGUCCUCGGGCGGCCCGCUGGGGACCCAGCCUUGUGGCUCUGUGGCCAAAGAGAAAUAAAGAAGUCAGAUCCCUGCCAGCGCUUUCACUUCUAACCCAAGUCGUUAGCUGUGGGUGAUGAGUUCUUACUCUUCUGCUUCGCUGUCUCCAAAGGCCAGAAGAAUGCAGAGGGAAAAAAGAUGCAGAGUUGAACUGAAGUGAAAUGACUUUAGAUGAAAGAUUAAAAAAAAAGAAGAAGAAGAAAGACUUGAGGGAAAUGAGCCAGAUGUUUCCGUGAAAGAAGUUUUUUCUUAAAGAGAUGGAGUCAUUUGGGAAAUGGAAGCCCAGCCUUCAGCGUUGUUAGUCCAAUCUUCUGACCCUGAGCCUCAAUUUGGAGCCGUGGACCCUACCUGCAUUCCCAUGAUGCUGAGACAAUGCUGUCCACCCCAGCUUCACACCCCUACCUGGGGGGAUCUGGC